rnacentral:rRNA from 1 species
AACGUAGGACACAAGCGUUAUCCGGAGUUACUGGGGCGUAAAGGGCGUGUAGGCGGACCUAUAAGUCUAUUCUGAAAGCUCCUGGCUAAACUGGGAGAGGCGAAUGGAGACUGUAGAUCUAGAGUGAGGAAGAGGAAAGUGGAAUUCCGCGUGUAGUGGUGAAAGUGCGUAGAGAUGCGGAGGAACACCAGUGGCGAAAGCGACUUUCUGGUCCUUAACUGACGCUGAGGCGCGAAAGCAUGGGGAGCGAACGGG